GUGGGGAAUAUUGGACAAUGGGGGCAACCCUGAUCCAGCAAUGCCGCGUGGGCGAUGAAGGCCUUCGGGUUGUAAAGCCCUUUUGCACGCGACGAUGAUGACGGUAGCGUGAGAAGAAGCCCCGGCUAACUUCGUGCCAGCAGCCGCGGUAAUACGAAGGGGGCGAGCGUUGUUCGGAAUUACUGGGCGUAAAGGGCGCGCAGGCGGCCUUAGAAGUCAGAUGUGAAAGCCCCGGGCUCAACCUGGGAAUGGCAUUUGAUACUCUGAGGCUGGAGUACGGGAGAGGAGAGUGGAAUUCCCAGUGUAGAGGUGAAAUUCGUAGAUAUUGGGAAGAACACCGGUGGCGAAGGCGGCUCUCUGGACCGUAACUGACGCUGAGGCGCGAAAGCGUGGGGAGCAAACAGGAUUAGAAACCCCUGUAGUCC
rnacentral:rRNA from 1 species